GCUAGAGCCAUAUCUCCCUGCAGUUCUUGCCUGGUGUCCCACUGAAGAUAAGCAAGAUUGAGCCUGGCCAGUACCUGGAUAGAAGACCUACUGGGGAAAAGUAAGGUUGCUGCUGGAA
rnacentral:rRNA from 1 species